rnacentral:rRNA from 1 species
AUUGAACGCUGGCGGCAGGCCUAACACAUGCAAGUCGAGCGGCAGCGGAAAGUAGCUUGCUACUUUGCCGGCGAGCGGCGGACGGGUGAGUAAUGUCUGGGAAACUGCCUGAUGGAGGGGGAUAACUACUGGAAACGGUAGCUAAUACCGCAUAACGUCGCAAGACCAAAGAGGGGGACCUUCGGGCCUCUUGCCAUCAGAUGUGCCCAGAGGGGAUUAGCUAGUAGGUGGGGUAACGGCUCACCUAGGCGACGAUCCCUAGCUGGUCUGAGAGGAUGAACAGCCACACUGGAACUGAGACACCGUCCAGACUCCUACUGGUGUCAGCAGUGGGGCAUAUUGCACAAUGGGCUCAAGCCUGAUGAGGCCAUGCCGCGUGUAUGGAGAAGGCCUUCGGGUUGUAAAGUACUUUCAGCGGGGAGGAAGGUGUUGUGGUUAAUAACCACAGCAAUUGACGUUCCCCGCAGAAGAAGCACCGGCUGACUCCGUGCCAGCCGCCGCCGUAA